CCCUUAGAUGUUCUGGGCUGCACGCGCGCUACACUGAUGCGCUCAACGAGUUUAUGACCUUGCCUGGAAAGGUUGGGUAAUCUUCUUAAAACGCAUCGUGAUGGGGAUAGAUUAUUGCAAUUAUUAAUCUUCAACGAGGAAUUCCUAGUAAGCGCGAGUCAUCAGCUCGUGCUGAUUACGUCCCUGCCCUUUGUACACACCGCCCGUCGCUCCUACCGAUUGGAUGGUCCGGUGAAGCCUCGGGAUUGUGGUUCUUGCCGCUUUAUUGUGGCGUGACCGCGAGAACUUGUCUAAACCUUAUCAUCUAGAGGAAGGUGAAGUCGUANCA
rnacentral:rRNA from 1 species